rnacentral:lncRNA from 1 species
GGCAACCGAAGAUUAUUCGCAAGGGAUUUGUCUCGCAUUCACCAUAUACAUUGUUGGUCCAAUAAUUUAAAAUUAGCAUGAUCGAUAUUUUCGGUGCCAAACCUAAGAUGUUGUGGAAUCUUUGCACUGUCCAGUAGAUAUUAACUGUGAUUUCCACACAAUUCAGUGAAGCACUAAAAUAUCACUGCUCGAAUUUCACCAUUUAACACCUUCAUCACAAAGUAUCCAUUCCUGCAAGUAAGGGGAAGACUGCAGCAUCAACAGAUCAGCAGUAUUCUGCAUUAUUUUUACCCUGGCUUGUAUCAGUUCGUGUUAACCUUGAGUCACCAACAAGGUACUACAUAGUAGAGCAGGGUCCUGAUAAUUGUAUUCAGCUACUGAAAUAAGGUAAGACAAUAUUCUGCCAAUGAUCACCCACUGGUAAAGAUGAUCUCAGCAAGGUAAGACUGCAGACAAUGACCUGAAAGAGAUGUAUGUAACUAGUAGCUGUGCGCUCACCUGCCAUUCCAUGAAUAACCUGCGACUACUCUCACCCACUGGUCCAUAUUCUGAACCCUCAGCUUACAAGGACACAUUUGAGUUCAAGGUGAUUGGUUAUAUCUCCGUGAUGAUGUUCAUUCU